rnacentral:rRNA from 1 species
AUGCAAGUGCAGGGGGCUGCUACCAUACGGCUUUGUCUUGCGAAUCAGGUCAUGUAUCAUGUCAUGGAUGAAGAUUCUCCUAGGAAAAUUUGGGACAAGUUGGCAAGUCGUUAUAUGUCCAAGUCAGCGACCAAUAAGCUGUAUUUGAAGCAGAAGUUCUAUGGGCUGAAGAUGCAGGAGGGGUCGAAUCUUGUGGAGCACAUGAAUACCUUUAAAUCAGUUGGUCACGGAUCUAGCGUGUUUGGAUGUGAAGAUUGA